rnacentral:rRNA from 1 species
CCUACGGGGGGCAGCAGUGAGGAAUAUUGGUCAAUGGGCGCAAGCCUGAACCAGCCAAGUAGCGUGAAGGAUGACUGCCCUACGGGUUGUAAACUUCUUUUAUAAAGGAAUAAAGUGAGGCACGUGUGCCUUUUUGUAUGUACUUUAUGAAUAAGGAUCGGCUAACUCCGUGCCAGCAGCCGCGGUAAUACGGAGGAUCCGAGCGUUAUCCGGAUUUAUUGGGUUUAAAGGGAGCGUAGAUGGGUUGUUAAGUCAGUUGUGAAAGUUUGUGGCUUAACCGUAGAAUUGCAAUUGAUACUGGCAGUCUUGAGUACAGGUGCGGUAGGCGGAAUUCGUGGUGUAGCGGUGAAAUGCUUAGAGAUCACGAAGAACACCGAUUGCGAAGGCAGCUUACUAAACUGUAACUGACAUUGAUGCUCGAAAGUGUGGGUAGCAAACAGGAUUAGAUACCCUUGUAGUC